rnacentral:lncRNA from 1 species
GCCCACCGCCCUUGCCGCCUCGGGGCUCAGGCCCUUGGCGCUGGAGGGCAGCACCUGGGUACAGAGCCGGAUGCGCGCGCUUCCAGGCCUGAAGUGCAGCAUCAGAGACUUCCAUUCUGUGAAAACCAGGCAAUUCACCCAUCAAGCCUGUGAAGAUGGUUGAAGCAGACGCUCUAAUGGCUGAAUGGCUAGACAAAGGCAGCCAUGAUAGGGUUCGCUCCUUUUGGCGGAAAAGCUCAUUGCUCUGACCUGACAUAAAGAUCAGUAAAUUACACCUGGGAUAAUUGGAAGAAACUGGACCUUCAACCACCAGAGGAGUUGUUCCUUGUCAGUCAAUGACAGCUGACAACUUUAGGCGAGAACCGUCAUAACCAGUGGCUUUUUUUAAAAAAUGAUUUUAAAAUUGUCGAUGGA